UUGCACUAAGUUAUGUUCAUUUUAUUAUGUACAUUUUAUCAUGCAUGCUAAUUUCUGAUUAAAUUAACUCUUUCUAUUUUUUCUAUUUGACAAUCGGGAUGUUGUAAAAGAUAUUCCGAUACACUUACGUGAAUUGGAAAAGAUCUUCUUCAUCGGUUGGAGUCCACUUGAGUCUUUAUGUAUACACACACACACA